UGGGGAAUUUUGGACAAUGGGGGAAACCCUGAUCCAGCCAUCCCGCGUGUGCGAUGAAGGCCUUCGGGUUGUAAAGCACUUUUGGCAGGAAAGAAACGUCAUGGGUUAAUACCCCGUGAAACUGACGGUACCUGCAGAAUAAGCACCGGCUAACUACGUGCCAGCAGCCGCGGUAAUACGUAGGGUGCAAGCGUUAAUCGGAAUUACUGGGCGUAAAGCGUGCGCAGGCGGUUCGGAAAGAAAGAUGUGAAAUCCCAGAGCUCGACUUUGGAACUGCAUUUUUAACUACCGGGCUAGGGUGUGUCAGAGGGAGGUGGAAUUCCGCGUGUAGCAGUGAAAUGCGUAGAUAUGCGGAGGAACACCGAUGGCGAAGGCAGCCUCCUGGGAUAACACUGACGCUCAUGCACGAAAGCGUGGGGAGCAAACAGG
rnacentral:rRNA from 1 species